AGUGAACGCUGGCGGUAGGCCUAACACAUGCAAGUCGAACGGCAGCACAGUAAGAGCUUGCUCUUACGGGUGGCGAGUGGCGGACGGGUGAGGAAUACAUAGGAAUCUACUUUUUCGUGGGGGAUAACGUGGGGAAACUUCCGCUAAUACCGCAUACGACCUACGGGUGAAUGCAGGGGAUCUUGGGACCUUUCCCGAUUGUAUGAGCCGAAGCCGGAUUAGCUAGUUGGCGGGGUAACGGCCCACCAAGGCGACGAUCCGUAGCUGAUCUGAGAGGAUGAUCAGCCACACUGGAACUGAGACACGGUCCAGACUCCUACGGGAGGCAGCAGUAGGGAAUAUUGGGCAAUGGGCGCAAGCCUGAUCCAGCCAUACCGCGUGGGUGAAGAAGGCCUUCGGGUUGUAAAGCCCUUUUGUUGGGAAAGAAAAGCAGCAUAUUAAUACCCCGCUGUUCUGACGGUACCCAAAGAAUAAGCACCGGCUAACUUCGUG
rnacentral:rRNA from 1 species